CAGUAGCCGCGGGAAUACAGAGGGUGCGAGCGUUAAUCGGAUUUACUGGGCGUAAAGCGUGCGUAGGCGGCUAAUUGAGUCGGAUGUGAAAUCCCCGAGCUUAACUUGGGAAUUGCAUUCGAUACUGGUUAGCUAGAGUGUGGGAGAGGAUGGUAGAAUUCCAGGUGUAGCGGUGAAAUGAGUGGAGAUCUGGAGGAAUACCGAUGGCGAAGGCAGCCAUCUGGCCUAACACUGACGCUGAGGUACGAAAGCAUGGGGAGCAAACAGGAUUAGAGACCCGCGUAGUCCCUGUCUCUUAUAC
rnacentral:rRNA from 1 species